rnacentral:rRNA from 1 species
AUUGAACGCUGGCGGCAGGCCUAACACAUGCAAGUCGAGCGGAUGAAGGGAGCUUGCUCCUGGAUUCAGCGGCGGACGGGUGAGUAAUGCCUAGGAAUCUGCCUGGUAGUGGGGGAUAACGUCCGGAAACGGGCGCUAAUACCGCAUACGUCCUGAGGGAGAAAGUGGGGGAUCUUCGGACCUCACGCUAUCAGAUGAGCCUAGGUCGGAUUAGCUAGUUGGUGGGGUAAAGGCCUACCAAGGCGACGAUCCGUAACUGGUCUGAGAGGAUGAUCAGUCACACUGGAACUGAGACACGGUCCAGACUACUACGGGAGGCAGCAGUGGGGAAUAUUGGACUAUGGGCGAAAGCCUGAUCCAGCCAUGCCGCGUGUGUGAAGAAGGUCUUCGGAUUGUAAAGCACUUUAAGUUGGGAGGAAGGGCAGUAAGUUAAUACCUUGCUGUUUUGACGUUACCAACAGAAUAAGCACCGGCUAACUUCGUG